rnacentral:lncRNA from 1 species
CAGGUUUUUAAUCAGAUGGUUGUCAUCUUCCACUCAUUUAAAGGUAGAUCUAUUAAUUUUAUAUAUGUAUUUUUAUGUGUUCUAUAAAAGUAGAUUUAUCUAAUCUUUUAGUCAUUUUAUCUGUUUUUAAGCCAACUGAACGUUUUUUGAUAUGCAGGUUUUUCAGAUCUGGAUUUGAUAUGCAGGUUUUUCAGAUCUGGAUGACUUCUG